UACAGAGGGUGCGAGCGUUAAUCGGAAUUACUGGGCGUAAAGCGCGCGUAGGCGGCUUUUCAAGUCGAUUGUGAAAUCCCCGGGCUUAACCUGGGAACUGCAGUCGAGACUGUCUAGCUAGAGUAUGGGAGAGGGAAGUGGAAUUUCAGGUGUAGCGGUGAAAUGCGUAGAUAUACGGAGGAACACCAGAGGCGAAGGCGGAUCGCUGGGCCAACACUGACGCUGAGACGCGAAAGCUAGGGUAGCAAACGGG
rnacentral:rRNA from 1 species